UUCGUAGGUGGCAAGCGUUGUCCGGAUUUACUGGGUGUAAAGGGCGUGUAGCCGGGCUGACAAGUCAGAUAUGAAAUCCGGGGGCUCAACCCCCGAACUGCAUUUGAAACUGUUGGUCUUGAGUAUCGGAGAGGCAGGCGGAAUUCCUAGUGUAGCGGUGAAAUGCGUAGAUAUUAGGAGGAACACCAGUGGCGAAGGCGGCCUGCUGGACGACAACUGACGGUGAGGCGCGAAAGCGUGGGGAGCAAACAGG
rnacentral:rRNA from 1 species